UACAGAGGGGGCAAGCGUUGUCCGGAAUCAUUGGGCGUAAAGAGCGUGUAGGCGGCUUGGCAAGUCUGACGUGAAAUCUUGCGGCUCAACCGCAAGCGGUCGUUGGAAACUGCCUCGCUAGAGUCCGGAAGAGGAGAGCGGAAUUCCUGGUGUAAGCGGUGGAAUGCGCAGAUAUCAGGAAGAACACCCGUGGCGAAGGCGGCUCCUCGUGGGACGGUACUGACGCUAGAGCGAAAGCGUGGGGAGCGAACAGG
rnacentral:rRNA from 1 species